GGAGAAAGAGAAUUGUCUGAAUAGCCGAGGAGACUGCCUGACGACUAACCAACUCAAAGACUAUCGAUCAAAGUCUUUAAUAGAUAUGGCUUAAGACGCAGGCAAGUCAUCCUUGGCUACCACACCACUUCCCUUUCUU
rfam:Arabis alpina cultivar Pajares chromosome 1, whole genome shotgun sequence.